GUAGUUUGAAGGUCAUUUUUGGUGACUUAGAAUUUGAAGUGUAUAAUUUCCUCAGUGCGGUAUCAUCUCGCAGUACAGGUCUGUGUUAGUCUGUGACAGCUUUCACAUGUGGGUUUGUAGAAAUGUAAUGGAAAGUGGGUUUGCACAUACCGUGUGAGUCUUCCUGCUGUGUGCUUAAUGUGGCAACACUUGCCAAAGCUGCUUGGCAAACACGUCAAAAGGGAUGCUUGAGUCACAGCUCUAAUGCAAAUGUGUCGCAACAGCAGUGUGUGUCAUUAUGAUGUAUUUCUGUAAACACAGUGAUGGCUCCUUUCAGUCAUAUAAGUACUGGAUAAAAAUAACCACUUGAAACAUUGGAGGGAAAUGUCACUUAACUGAUGGCAAAGCUACUCGCAUUAUCAGCCAGGGGCUUCUGUGUGUGUUUGUGUUUGUGUGUGUGUGUGUGUGUGUGUGUGUGUGUGUGUGUGUGUGUGCGCGCGCGCGUGCACACAAAAUGGAGAAGGAAGAACUAACAUUGGCAAUGUGGAGGGCAAAAGGAAUACGCCAUCGAAUUAGAGGCCACUUGCAUUCCCCACACUAUAUUGGAUUUUAGGAAAUACUGGGAGAACUGGAAUUCCCACACUAAAUUACUGGCCUUGUCAGUUUGACUACUGAAGGCACUAGAUUACCAAAAAUUUUUGAUUCUAAGCUUCAUAGCUGACUGCAAGGGCUGUGUUCUUCUUGUUGAAUCACCAUUCCCCAAAUUGCAACAAAAGUACAUCUGCUAGCGAUACCCAUUCAAAAACCUGGGUCGCUCUGUACAGUGGCACCAGGACAAGUGGCCAGAGGUGCCUCAGCGUGUUGUAGGAUGACUUGGUCCCAUUGGAAAUCACUCGCACCGCAAUAGUAACUACAGCUACCUAAGUGUGACUCUUGACUCGUGUGUGCCGGUUGCUUUGGUAAGCACUUUAAUGCAUCCCCCACUCUCCUCGUACCUUCUCAGCUGCCCUAAGCUCUUCCUGCCGGGCUACUCACCUGAGCUUCCUUUGAGCUCCGUAAGCAGAAUGGCCGCUUCUGUUUGCCCCAGUCAAGCGUAGUUCUCAAAAUCUACCAACACUUUGGGAGGGAACAUUUUUUUUGAUUUUCUGAUGCUAUGAAGGGAAAGUUGGUAUUUGUAUCAUUAAAUCUGAUUUGGAAAUACACAGGUGCUUAAGUAACAAGCAUGUACAGCCCAGGCCUCCAGAGCUGUCAAAGGGCUGGCACGAAGCUUGGCCUGACUGACACCUUGUGAGGGAGACCAGAAACUCUUAAAGUGGACAUAUCAGAAGUCUAGUUCCCUCCGCUUUUCUAGAUUCCCUGUGCAAAGAUGCAGGGACAUAAAGGACAACUUUGGAUCUCGUGAUUAGAUCGUCUUACGUGACACCUGGUGACAGCCUUGGCGAUUGGUCAGGGUUCCCAUCUCUGUGUGGCUGGUUUCGCAGCCCCUGGUGACACUUCCAAUUUGGUAGGAUGGAGAGGUUUUAGUAGACGAUGUCACUGUGAGAACUAUAGAGAUUGUGUAAAGACUACAGUGACCUGUUGGGUUUGCCCCUGUAGUUCAAGACUUAACAUCCUUUGAAAGCAUGCCAAGGCCAGGUGAGCCUGGCCUGUGCCUCUUGGGAGCAAGGCCUGCUGGAGGCAGGCGGGGAACUCAGUCACUGUCCAGCCUACCCCUGCCCAGGCUAAGCCUUGCUUUCAUGUUGCUCCUCUGCAGAACGGCAUGUAGCAGCUAACACGGGGGCCAGUUGCCUUUACUCUAUUUUCUAUGAUGAAUACUUGUGGAGAAACUGUGACAAAUCCAUUGAUCCUAAUAUUUUUUAUUGUUGGAGUCUUGUGGCUUCUCGAAAUAAUUUCUAUUUGAUUGUACUGUGUAGAAUUCAUACACACUAGGGAUAUGUUAAUAAAGCUAAAAUGCAUAGUAUAAUAUAGAAUAGCAAAAAAAUUUUUGUGAACAAUUUAUAUAGAAGAGUAAGUUGUUUUUUAAGUGUUAGGCCAUUUCUUUUAGGAACUUAAAAUGUUAUAAGAGUUUUUUAAACAUUCAAUAUUUUUAAUUAUAAGAGACAUUUGUUACUAGAGCUAAUUAUUUCGGGUGUUCUAAUUGGAAUAUUGAUUUUUCUUACCUCAUAUACCUCUAGAAGGCCACAUGUUCUGUUGGGGGUAAAAUUGCACAAUAAAUGUCAAGUUACCUGUU
rnacentral:lncRNA from 1 species